AUUAGGGUUCGAUUCCGGAGAGGGAGCCUGAGAAACGGCUACCACAUCUAAGGAAGGCAGCAGGCGCGCAAAUUACCCAAUCCUAAUACAGGGAGGUAGUGACAAGAAAUAACAAUACAGGACCUUUUCGGUUUUGUAAUUGGAAUGAGUUAAGUAUAAACCCCUUUACAAGUAUCAAUUGGAGGGCAAGUCUGGUGCCAGCAGCCGCGGUAAUUCCAGCUCCAAUAGCGUAUAUUAAAGUUGUUGCAGUUAAAAAGCUCGUAGUUGGAUUUCUGUUAAUUGCUUUAUAUAAUUUAUGCUUUGCUGCAUAUUUAUAUAGUAUUAACAUAAUUCAUAUUACUAUAUUUUUCUAGUAUAUGAAACUUUACUUUGAGAAAAUUAGAGUGCUUAAAGCAGGCUUUUGCCUUGAAUACUUCAGCAUGGAAUAAUAAUAAAAGAUUUUUAUCUUUCUUUAUUGGUUCUAAGAUAGAAAUAAUGAUUAAUA
rnacentral:rRNA from 1 species